rnacentral:lncRNA from 1 species
UGAGGCUGACAGUCUUGCUGUAAUUGGGAGGAAACAGGCUGCAGCAUGUUUGGCAGAUUGAGAGUCACCAGUAGCCAAAGUCAGGUUUGUGCAACUGUAGGGCUCAGAGCCCCCCCCACCUCACAUGGUGAGGAGAAGGUGGCAGUCAAGUUCUAGAUGACCCAGAUGAUUAAGUUGGUCCCUGGGAUAGUUUUACUUCCUCACCUCACUCUCCAGAAGGCAAGGAAGGGCAUUGUUUCCUCUUGCUGCCAGUUACCUUUAGGGGAGGCUGGUCUGGGUUUAUAAAAAUCUCAUGGUAGAGACAACCUCCCCACUGGCCCUAGCUGGCUUCUGUUCCCUGCCACUUCACAGCAGAGGCCAAAUCCAGAACCAGUGUGUUUCAUGGGCCUGAGGGUAGGACAGAGUGGCCAGAGACAAGGGUGGGGAAUCAGGGACACUGGCCAUUCUUAGCAGUUCCAAGGAAAUGGCCUUUCUCCCAACUACCCUGCACAGGCUCAGUGGCAAUAGUGGCCACCUGUCCUUCCAGAAGGGUUCCAGGCCCUCCAUGGAGUGGCUCAGAAUGAGGGAGGAGGGUUCAGGCAAGGAAGACCACAAAGAUGAUGAAGAAGACAAUGAGGAUGAGGAAGAUUUUGACCAUGAGCCACCGAUUGGAGGUGACUGACUGGAAGUACUUGAGGAUCUCUGAAUGGGCGGCCUCAACAUCCAGCUGGGCUCCAAGCACAUUCUCGUCAAUCCUGGAAACAGGAGAUAAAACAGAGAGGAACACUGGGUUGAAGAAGGUUAAAGACAUCCAUUUAUUGAUAUGGGAAGCUGAUCACAAUAUGUAGAAGUAAAAAGUAUUUGAUACUACG